AGCCUGAAUUCUUUGCAAUAAGAACAAUUACUGCUACUUUAUUGGUUGUAUCGAUCACUGUCGUGAACAUUGCAAGUUGUUCUUUAUGUAAUAGAGGUGAACAUGCUGCAAAAAAAUGUGCAAUGAUCUGCUAGCAACAUUGAGAUGGACCAUCAGCUGUAGUAAUGUCUGGAGAUACAAAGUCAAGUAAAAGUCAAAAUCAAAACAUCCAUGAAACAGAAGAGAACCCCAAAGAAUGAAUGACAGUAAAACGCUAGAACCCCAAAGCCCCCCCCUCCCACGCACAAGCAACAGCAAAGCAUCAACCCUCCCCCUCUCCCUUUCCCUCCCCCACUUAUUUCAGCAGGAAGCAUCAGAGCCCACCACCCACCAAGCAAAGCCUCCAAAGAGAGACAAUGAUCAGCAGUCCAAAAAAACUAUUGUUUACUUGGCAAUUCGACAUGCCACAGACUCUCUCUCUCCCUAACAAGAGACAGAGAGGUGUCACCCCUUUAGCACAGCGAGAGGAAAGACCAACAAAACAAAACAAGUUGCUGAUUACAAAGUUACUGUCUGCUGUGCCACUUUUAUUCCUAGUUCUCUGACUCAAGAAUCGACAGCAAACUCUCUCCCAUCAUCGAGAAAAAGAGGGAGAGAGAGAAAACAAUCAUCCAGGUACAGAGACCGCUGACAGCCAAUCCGUUGUUUGCUAUGUUCUGCUUCUCUCGUGACACUUCAGUCGGUGACCCCGGCAUGGAAUCGGUUCGUCCACAGGGCCGCAGGUCCUCACCCUGAAGACUUGUGUCCUCUGGGCUGCAUCCUGGAGAUAUUGAAAAAUGACUGCUCAAUAAGCUCCAGAAGUAGAAAUCACCUCCGUAAAGAACUGCAGUUUGAACACAGCUGUCGAUCACAGACUCCAACAGAAUCCCAUCCACUUGGAAAAGGAAAAAAGAGACAUUAAAGGGCAGAAAUUAAGCGGUUUCACAAAUGAGUUCGAAGAAGCUGAAAUUGUAAUUUAUAAUUAUUUUUAAUAAUAUGUAUGGCAAUAUACG